UGUAAAAUAAGCUAAAUUAAGCUGUUGGGUUCAUACCCCAGAUAUGAAAUAAUAUUUCUUUUACAA
rnacentral:tRNA from 1 species